AUGUGCGUAGCUACCAAGUAUGAUUCUGAUGUGAAAACUACGACACACACAAUUACUCAAUCAGUAGCUAAUAGAAUUGAGGAAUUUAAGGAGCAGCUUCACAAAGAUCUUGAAAAUAUUUUACCUAGUCAUGUUCGGUCGUUAGUGCUGCAAAUCAAUGAUGAUUAUUCUGAGAAAAUACCGAUUGAGAAUAGUGGCUUCAUUAACUUUCCUAGUAAUAAUCAUACACUUGGAGCAUCGGCUAGUAACAUUGUGCAGCCCCAUGUUCCUUCAAAUAGUGAUCAAGGUGGCCGGAACUAUGAGAGCAGUUCGGCUAAUAAUUUUAUGCCUAGCGUAGCUGCUCCUAUUGUCUCAACUUUGGUUUCACAAAAUCACAAUAGCAAUGACCGAAGUGCUAGUUCUAAUUCUAGUUUGCAACAACUUUAUUAUCCAACUUUAGAAUAUAGUACACCAUCGGUAUUGACUGUCAGUACUGGGAUUCCGUGCGGGCCGGUACCCGAUUCAUAUUUUAAUGGGUCUCCAUUGCAAGCAUCACAAGCUCAAAUUUCUUUGCCGGAGUUUCCAUCACGUGCUAGCGUUCCAUCUGUUCCACAAACUAGACCUCUACAGCCGAAUGAUAGUUUUAAGGAUAAGCUUGCUAGUAUACUAAGAGAAUUUGGUUUAGAACCUAAGAGUAAAGCACGUGCAUAUCAAAAACCAUACCCUGAUUACUUCGAUUUGACGGCUUAUCCUCGCGAUUUUAGAAUUCCUGAUUUUGUUAGGUUUACAGGGGAAGAUGGUAGAUCCACUUUCGAGCACAUCGGACAAUUUUUAGCCCAAUGUUGUGAUAUCGGCACAUCGGAUGUUUAUAGGAUUAAAUUAUUUCCGUUGUCUUUGUCUGGUAUUGCAUUUACUUGGUUUACAUCUCUUGCUCCUAAUUCUAUUUCAACAUGGGCACAAUUGGAGCAAAAAUUUCAUGAGUACUUUUAUAGCGGUGAAACAGAACUUCGGCUUUCAGAUUUAACUAUGGUUAGGCAGAAAUAUAAUGAGCACGUUCAUGAUUAUAUUAGGAGGUUUAGGGAUGUAAAAAACAGAUGUUUCAGCUUGACCAUAGCCGAAAAGGAUUUAGCCGGUCUUGCCUUUUCUGGUCUUCUCGCUCAUAUUAAGGAUAAACUAUAA
rnacentral:rRNA from 1 species